AGUGCGGGAAAGUACCUGCUGCCCAGAGGGCAGCAGUUGACGAGUUGUUGUACAGUUUUUUUGUAAACGCUGCGCAGGGUUAAAGGAAAUAAGGGCAGUUGGGUGAAUUUAGGAGGGAUGGGGGUUCGGUAAGACAUUAACAUCAAUUGUGCCUUCAUAUUUGAUUACAAGAUUUGAUCAUUCAAUUCACUCAAGUUGUAUUCGUCAGUAUCACACAGUAAAUUACCACGGGUAAAUUUCCUGAUGCAUUCAUGUACCGAUAUGUACAUAUAAUUGCUGUAAGGUUCUAAUUAUGACUUGUGUAAAACAAAAUUACAAGUAGCAGGACGAAUGGUUAUUUAAUAGUUGUGUUAUCUUAACUAUGAUCUGUGCAAUAGAUUGUUAAUGUACGUUCAUGUAGUGUUCCUUUAAGGUUAGUUUUUGAUUAACCACUGCCACAAAAAUAUGUGGAAUGUCACCAGGAAAGUCAUUAUCAAAAUGUCGAAAAUAUCAUCUUAAAGAUAUAGUCCAUCAUUUGUAAUUUGUGCAUUUUGUUCGUUUGAAGCAACAAAAGUGCUCAAAAUCAAAAUCAGGCGGCGUCAGUAGUGCAUUCGCAUGUCCCUCCCAUGGUCUCUGGGCUGUCUUCCUCGCGCCUCCCAAUUUGCAACCGUUGACAAGGGGGCAAAGCUUUGUGUUUUGAUGCACAUGUUGAUUCGCAUGCCCAAGUUUAAUAGGAAUCUGUAUUUACACCAUCUUUCGUGGACGUGCCUCAAUCAAGUUUCACUGUAUACAGUAAGUUAGCGCUCUAGAAGAUGCAUUUUAGUAAGCCUUGCCUUACAAGCAAAAAAAGGAUAAUUGAUGUCUUGAACGAUGUGAUGUACACUGAAAUCUUUGACCAUCGGAGUUUGUUUCAAAGUGAAAUAAGUUGUCUGGAUUAUAUGUAUGAAUGUAAAGAUGAUGCUGCAUAAAACUCAAGUUGUCGUUUCAAUAUCUAGAGAAGUACAAUGUAGUCAUAAAAGGGCAUAAAAGUAAAUCAAAUUGAAUAUAACAAUGUACAGUUGCAGCAGGGUUUUAAAUAUGUGAGAAAAUGAGACAAUUAUGCAUAAGUUCAUUCAGUGCCAACAAAUUUUUUUUUUUUAACUGCCCCGCAUGAUGGUGUUAGACACCGGAUGGGACGAGGAAAAUGAUGCAUCUUGGGAAAAUGAUGCAUCUUGGGAAUGAGUCUGUAUGGUCUCAGCCUGCACAAGAUUGUAUAAUUCAAAUCAAUCUCACUGCAUGACAGGGUAGUUGCAUGGUAAUUAAGGGUGAAUUCCGUCUGGGAUUUCAUGUGAACCUCUGUUUAAAUGCAUUUCUGUACUUCGUCAGAAAUUUUGUCUUUUCUGCAGCACUUUGUAACCGUUAAAUUCAAAAGGCAACGUGAAAUUAUCAGGAGUACAUAUACAAACUGUAGAGGACUCUUAGCAUUUUUAUAACAUGAAAAAUUUAUGGACAAAUAUUCAUGUAUAUUUAUGAAAUAAUCUACCAUGUGUAAUAAAAUGAAUCAAAGAAUAA